rnacentral:rRNA from 1 species
GGAUUAGAUACCCUGGUAGUCCACGCCGUAAACGAUGUCGACUAGCCGUUGGGCUCAUUUAAGGGUUUAGUGGCGCAGCUAACGCGAUAAGUCGACCGCCUGGGGAGUACGGCCGCAAGGUUAAAACUCAAAGGAAUUGACGGGGGCCCGCACAAGCGGUGGAGCAUGUGGUUUAAUUCGAUGCAACGCGAAGAACCUUACCAGCCCUUGACAUCCCCGGAACCGACAGAGAUGUCGGGUGCCUUCGGGAACCGGGUGACAGGUGCUGCAUGGCUGUCGUCAGCUCGUGUUG